UGAUAGGUGUGGCAUAGGGCAUGGAUCCCC
rnacentral:piRNA from 1 species